rnacentral:siRNA from 1 species
UUAGUGGUGCUGUUCGGAG